rnacentral:misc_RNA from 1 species
GAUGAAGAACGCAGCGAAAUGCGAUAGGUAGUGUGAAUUGCAGAUGUAACGUGAAUCAUCGAAUCUUUGAACGCAAAUUGCACUCUCUGGUAUUCCGGGGAGUAUGCCUGUUUGAGGGUCGCCAAAUCAAAAUCGAAAUUCAUUUGCUUUUUUGUAAAUGUUUAUCGGAUUUGAGCCGUCUUUUUUUAUUUUUUUUUAAUUAAAGUGGCUUAAAAUGUAUUUUUUUGGUAUCGAAAAACGUUAUUUUACGAUCGAAUUGAUUAAAAAAACAAACGUUUUCGAAUGCCGCCUUUUUAAUGUAAUACGUUUGACUGUGAUGGUUAAUCAUAGUUUCAUUCGUAUACGAUUUUUUAAUUUUUGACCUCAAAUCAGGUAAGAACACCCGCUGAACUUAAGCAUAUCAAUAAGCGGAGGA